ensembl:lncRNA
GCUGUCCAAAGCCAGACUUAGCGUGUCAUUGUCUGGCAUGUACGAAUAUGAUGCUCUGGGGAGCACGAAGCAGAUUAUCUGAUGUGAAGUCUGUGGUCAAAGAACUCAAGGGCUUGUGACUGUCCCACCUGCUGAGGCCACAAGCUAUGGAGACCAACAGACUCGGAAGACGAGCUCCCCCGCUACCAGCUCUUGGGUUUCUCUGAGCCCCAGAAUGUCCAGCAGCAAAUGAAUAACAAAUACAUAGCCCACAGUGCCAGAAGAAACGUGGGGACAUGUCAUCGUAGAUUUGACCGCCACACCGCUGGGUCUUGAUUCCACAUCGGGCGCCAUGGUAAGAGCUGCUGAUCCAGCACUCGGAAUGCAGUGGUAGGAGAAGGAGCUUGUUCAGUGCAGCAGGACGGACUGGCGUGUUCACCGAACAAGAGAAGAUAUACUGGCUUCUUGUAGCUGCUAUAACAAAUUAUCAUAGGCGAUAAUUUGAAACAUCAGAAGUUGAUUGUCUCACAGCUCUGAAGGUCAGAAGCUCUCAAUAAAUGAACUGACAGGGCCCCGUGAUCUUGGCCG